CUAGGUGGCUAUAGAGAGAGGGAAACGCCUGGUCCCAUUCCGAACCCAGAAGCUAAGCCUCUCAUCGCUGAUAAUACUGCAGGUUUCACUUGUGGGAAUGUAGGUCGCCGCCUAGU
rnacentral:rRNA from 1 species